UACGGAGGGUGCGAGCGUUGUUCGGAAUCACUGGGCGUAAAGCGCGUGUAGGCGGCCCACUAAGUCUGAUGUGAAAGCCCGGGGCUCACCCCCGGAAGUGCACCCGAAACUGCGUAGCUGGAGUCUCGGAGAGGAAGGUGGAAUGCUUGGUGUAGAGGUGAAAUUCGUAGAUAUCAAGCGGAACACCGGUGGCGAAGGCGGCCUUCUGGACGAUGACUGACGCUGAGACGCGAAAGCGUGGGGAGCAAACAGG
rnacentral:rRNA from 1 species